AGUGAACGCUGGCGGUAGGCCUAACACAUGCAAGUCGAACGGCAGCACAGUAAGAGCUUGCUCUUACGGGUGGCGAGUGGCGGACGGGUGAGGAAUACAUCGGAAUCUACUUUUUCGUGGGGGAUAACGUAGGGAAACUUAUGCUAAUACCGCAUACGACCUACGGGUGAAAGCAGGGGAUCUUCGGACCUUGCGCGAUUGAAUGAGCCGAUGUCGGUUUAGUUAGUUGGCGGGGUAAAGGCCCACCAAGGCGACGAUCCGUAGCUGGUCUGAGCGGAUGAUCAGCCACUGUGGAACUGAGACACGCUCCAGACUCCUACGGGAGGCGCCAGAGGGGAAUAUUGGACAAUGGGCGCAAGCCUGAUCCAGCCAUACGACGUGGUGGAAGAAGGCCUUCGAGUUGUAAAGCCAUUUUGUGGGGAAAGAAAAGGAGCAGGUUGAUACCCCGCUGUUCUGACGGUACCCAAAGAAUAAGCACCGGCUAACUUCGUG
rnacentral:rRNA from 1 species